rnacentral:lncRNA from 1 species
CUGGUUUUGUGGCAUGCCAAACCUCCCUCUUUUAUGGCCAUGUUAAAUAUAACAUUAAAAUGACAACACAACAUUACAGGACUACAAUACAAAUAAAUAGGAGAACACAACUGACAAAGAAACACACGAAUAAUAGCUAACAAAAGGCACCAGGUAUAAAAUUUAAUACGCCAGAAGUGCGUUUUGUCCACACAAGACUUGCUAGUGAC